rnacentral:rRNA from 1 species
UACGGAGGGGGGCUAGCGUUGUUCGGAAUUACUGGGCGUAAAGCGCGCGUAGGCGGCUUAGCAAGUUAGAGGUGAAAGCCCGAAGCUCAACUUCGGAAUUGCCUUUAAAACUGCAAAGCUAGAAUCAUGGAGAGGUGAGUGGAAUUCCGAGUGUAGAGGUGAAAUUCGUAGAUAUUGGAAGAACACCAGUGGCGAAGGCGGACUCACUGGCGUAUAUGACGCUGAGGUGCGAAAGCGUGGGGAGCAAACAGG